UUGUACUGCAUAGCAUACAAGAUGUUAGUUCCCCAACCAGGGAUCGAACCCAUGCCCUCCAUAGUGGAAGCAUGGAAAUUUAUAGCUGGACCACCAGGGAAGCCCAGGCAGUCUCUUCAUUAAUUCAGUGAAUAGCAUUGACUGCCCACAGGGGUGAGGAUGAGACAGUGAAUAAGACAGAAAAUAUUCUGUUUCUUCCAGAGCUCAUACUAAUGUGUGAGAAGAGCAACAAGAGAGGGUCUCAAGGAAGGCAUGGUCAACUGUGCCUAAGGUGGCUGAUGGGACAAAUUAGAGGUGAGGUAAGGGCCUGGUGACCUAGACAAGGAGUGGAGAGGAGGGGCAGAGACUGACUGAAGGGGCCUCCUGGAGAGGAACUGAAUUGGGGUGAGUGAAUACAGACAGUUCUUUUGGUAUUUUUUCUUUCUGUAAAACAAAAAAAAGAGAGAAGUGGGAGUGUGAAGUCAAGACAAGUUUUUUAAAGAUGGAGAAAUACAGUAUGUGUGUGGUAAUGGGAAUGAUCUCAGGGGAAAAUGAAAAAUGAAGAUGAAAGAGAAAGAUGGGGGAAAUGCUAGAGGAAGAUCCUUGAGGAGAUGAGAGGGAUUGGGAUGAGGGCACAAUGGAGCCUUGGUCUUAGAAAGAGUGACAUGGGCGUUGGUGGAGUCUCUUCUGAUAACUCCUGAAUCCUCAGUGAAAAAAAGGAAACGAAGUCAACAUGUGACAAGAAGCCUCCCGGAGGGACAAGAUGGCUGCCACUGUUGUCUCCAGCAUCAUGCCAGCAUUUCAGGGAAACAGAUGUGAAAACUUCAAAGGCUCCUACCGACCACUAGACAACCUGAUAUGAGAGACCCCGCACUGGUUGUAGCUAUGACACAGAUCCACUGGCAGGUGCAAAAAUGACAUGCAGUUUCUGCCUGGUUCUCCUGGGACACUUGUUCUAGAGGAAGCCAGGCACCAACUCCGCUGAUUCUGCCAUGCUAGAUGUGGGCACCAGCUCCAGCAGAGCUGCCAGACUCCAGUGGGCACCAGAUGCCAGCCAUGUGAGUGAGCGAUCUUGGACGUCCAGGGCAGCCCAGAUGAUGCAUCAGAUGACGGCAGCCGCAGCUAGCAUCUGACUGCACCUGCGCAAGAACCCCCAGUGAGAACUGCCCAGCUGAGCCCUUCCAGAAUUCCUGACCCAC